UGCAAGUCGAACGGUAGCACAGAGGAGCUUGCUCCUUGGGUGACGAGUGGCGGACGGGUGAGUAAUGUCUGGGGAUCUGCCCGAUGGAGGGGGAUAACUACUGGAAACGGUAGCUAAUACCGCAUAACGUCGCAAGACCAAAGUGGGGGACCUUCGGGCCUCACACCAUCGGAUGAACCCAGAUGGGAUUAGCUAGUAGGUGGGGUAACGGCUCACCUAGGCGACGAUCCCUAGCUGGUCUGAGAGGAUGACCAGCCACACUGGAACUGAGACACGGUCCAGACUCCUACGGGAGGCAGCAGUGGGGAAUAUUGCACAAUGGGCGCAAGCCUGAUGCAGCCAUGCCGCGUGUAUGAAGAAGGCCUUCGGGUUGUAAAGUACUUUCAGCGGGGAGGAAGGUGGUGAGGUUAAUAACCUCAUCAAUUGACGUU
rnacentral:rRNA from 1 species